UACUCAGUUGGGUUGGUGUGCUUGACGGGAUCGAUGAACUGAAAGCUUACGUACAGAAUACAUAUACCGUCAUCACCGAUGCAUAAAAGCCAUCUGCAGUCACCUUUCUCCUGUUACUGCACAUUCCUGCACGAAACAGAAGUCACCUUUCUCCUGUUACUGCACAUUCUUGUACGAAACAGAAGUCAGUUAAAUUAUAAUAAGCUGCCUGAGCAAGAAGUUCAUACAGCCCUUGAUCAUCAUGCAGAUUAAUUUUACGGCGAUUUUGGAUGAGAAACUAGACGGCGAGAAGAAAUUUCUAGACGGCAUCUCAUGGCACUGCAGAUGAAGAAAAACUGUGGCGUCAACAUGGCACGAGGGGAAUUGAGAAACUUCUUUAUAU
rnacentral:lncRNA from 1 species